UAGGGAAUCUUCCACAAUGGACGCAAGUCUGAUGGAGCAACGCCGCGUGAGUGAAGAAGGUUUUCGGAUCGUAAAGCUCUGUUGUUGGUGAAGAAGGAUAGAGGCAGUAACUGGCCUUUAUUUGACGGUAAUCAACCAGAAAGUCACGGCUAACUACGUGCCAGCAGCCGCGGUAAUACGUAGGUGGCAAGCGUUGUCCGGAUUUAUUGGGCGUAAAGCGAGCGCAGGCGGAAGAAUAAGUCUGAUGUGAAAGCCCUCGGCUUAACCGAGGAACUGCAUCGGAAACUGUUUUUCUGAGUGCAGAAGAGGAGAGUGGAACUCCAUGUGUAGCGGUGGAAUGCGUAGAUAUAUGGAAGAAUACCAGUGGCGAAGGCGGCUCUCUGGUCUGCAACUGACGCUGAGGCUCGAAAGCAUGGUAGCGAACAGGAUUAGAUACCCUGGUAGUCCAUGCCGUAAAACGAUGAGUGCUAAGU
rnacentral:rRNA from 1 species